GAUGAACGCUGGCGGCGUGCUUAACACAUGCAAGUCGAACGGAAAGGCUCCUGCUUGCUGGGGUACUCGAGUGGCGAACGGGUGAGUAACACGUGGGUGAUCUGCCCUGCACUUCGGGAUAAGCCUGGGAAACUGGGUCUAAUACCGGAUAGGACCACCUGUUGCAUGGUGUGGUGGAAAGUUUUUCGGUGUGGGAGGAGCUCGCGGCCUAUCAGCUUGUUGGUGGGGUAAUGGCGUACCAAGGCGUCGACGGGUAGCCGGCCUGGGAGGGGGUACGGCCAGAUUGGGACGGAGAUGCGGCCCGGACUCGUACGGGAGGGAGGAGAGGGGAAUAUUGCACAGUAGGAGCAAGCGUGAUGCAGCGAAGCCGCGUGGGGGGUGACGGCCUUCGGGUUGUAAACUACUCUCGCUAGGGACGAAGCGAUUUUGUGGCGGUACCAAGAGAAGAAGCACCGGCUAACUACGUG
rnacentral:rRNA from 1 species